CUUGAACGCUGGCGGCAGUCCUCACCCCUGCCAUUCGAACGAGUGGCGGACGGGUGAGUAAUGUCUGGGAAACUGCCUGAUGGAGGGGGAUAACUACUGGAAACGGUAGCUAAUACCGCAUACCAUCGGAUGUGCCCAGAUGGGAUUAGCUAGUAGGUGGGGUAACGGCUCACCUAGGCGACGAUCCCUAGCUGGUCUGAGAGGAUGACCAGCCACACUGGAACUGAGACACGGUCCAGACUCCUACGGGAGGCAGCAGUGGGGAAUAUUGCACAAUGGGCGCAAGCCUGAUGCAGCCAUGCCGCGUGUAUGAAGAAGGCCUUCGGGUUGUAAAGUACUUUCAGCGGGGAGGCGUUACCCGCAGAAGAAGCACCGGCUAACUCCGUGAAAGCCGCCGCGGUAAUUC
rnacentral:rRNA from 1 species